UACAGAGGGUGCGAGCGUUGUCCGGAAUCACUGGGCGUAAAGGGCGCGUAGGUGGCGGCAUAAGGCCGUGGUGAAAGUCUGGGGCUCAACCCCAGAUCGGCCGCGGCGACUGUGUCGCUAGGGCACCGUAGAGGCAGAUGGAAUUCCGGGUGUAGCGGUGGAAUGCGUAGAGAUCCGGAAGAACACCGGUGGCGAAGGCGGCCUGCUGGGCAGUUGCUGACACUGAGGCGCGACAGCGUGGGGAGCAAACAGG
rnacentral:rRNA from 1 species